AGAUUUGUGACGGUUCUUCAUCAGAGACAGGAUACAUACAACUGAGCAACAUCUUGAGUAUGAUGAAUGGAAGCUUAUUGAGAGRGAAUGCCUCUGUUAUCAACGUUUCAGUGGGAAGGAUGCAAAUCCUCGGCGGUGCAG